rnacentral:rRNA from 1 species
GGUAUAGACCCGAAACCCGGUGAUCUAGCCAUGGGCAGGUUGAAGGUUGGGUAACACUAACUGGAGGACCGAACCGACUAAUGUUGAAAAAUUAGCGGAUGACUUGUGGCUGGGGGUGAAAGGCCAAUCAAACCGGGAGAUAGCUGGUUCUCCCCGAAAGCUAUUUAGGUAGCGCCUCGUGAACUCAUCUUCGGGGGUAGAGCACUGUUUCGGCUAGGGGGUCAUCCCGACUUACCAACCCGAUGCAAACUACGAAUACCGAAGAAUGUUAUCACGGGAGACACACGGCGGGUGCUAACGUCCGUCGUGAAGAGGGAAACAACCCAGACCGCCAGCUAAGGUCCCAAAGUCAUGGUUAAGUGGGAAACGAUGUGGGAAGGCACAGACAGCCAGGAUGUUGGCUUAGAAGCAGCCAUCAUUUAAAGAAAGCGUAAUAGCUCACUGGUCGAGUCGGCCUGCGCGGAAGAUGUAACGGGGCUAAACCAUGCACCGAAGCUGCGGCAGCGACACUAUGUGUUGUUGGGUAGGGGAGCGUUCUGUAAGCCUGCGAAGGUGUGCUGUGAGGCAUGCUGGAGGUAUCAGAAGUGCGAAUGCUGACAUAAGUAACGAUAAAGCGGGUGAAAAGCCCGCUCGCCGGAAGACCAAGGGUUCCUGUCCAACGUUAAUCGGGGCAGGGUGAGUCGACCCCUAAGGCGAGGCCGAAAGGCGUAGUCGAUGGGAAACAGGUUAAUAUUCCUGUACUUGGUGUUACUGCGAAGGGGGGACGGAGAAGGCUAUGUUAGCCGGGCGACGGUUGUCCCGGUUUAAGCAUGUAGGCUGGUUAUCCAGGCAAAUCCGGAUAAUCAAGGCUGAGGUGUGAUGACGAGGCACUACGGUGCUGAAGUAACAAAUGCCCUGCUUCCAGGAAAAGCCUCUAAGCAUCAGGUAACAUCAAAUCGUACCCCAAACCGACACAGGUGGUCAGGUAGAGAAUACCAAGGCGCUUGAGAGAACUCGGGUGAAGGAACUAGGCAAAAUGGUGCCGUAACUUCGGGAGAAGGCACGCUGGUGUGUAGGUGAAGUCCCUGCGGAUGGAGCUGAGACCAGUCGAAGAUACCAGCUGGCUGCAACUGUUUAUUAAAAACACAGCACUGUGCAAACACGAAAGUGGACGUAUACGGUGUGACGCCUGCCCGGUGCCGGAAGGUUAAUUGAUGGGGUUAUCCGUAAGGAGAAGCUCUUGAUCGAAGCCCCGGUAAACGGCGGCCGUAACUAUAACGGUCCUAAGGUAGCGAAAUUCCUUGUCGGGUAAGUUCCGACCUGCACGAAUGGCGUAAUGAUGGCCAGGCUGUCUCCACCCGAGACUCAGUGAAAUUGAACUCGCUGUGAAGAUGCAGUGUACCCGCGGCAAGACGGAAAGACCCCGUGAACCUUUACUAUAGCUUGACACUGAACAUUGAGCCUUGAUGUGUAGGAUAGGUGGGAGGCUUUGAAGCGUGGACGCCAGUCUGCGUGGAGCCAACCUUGAAAUACCACCCUUUAAUGUUUGAUGUUCUAACGUUGGCCCCUGACCGGGGUUGCGGACAGUGUCUGGUGGGUAGUUUGACUGGGGCGGUCUCCUCCCAAAGCGUAACGGAGGAGCACGAAGGUUAGCUAAUCCUGGUCGGACAUCAGGAGGUUAGUGCAAUGGCAUAAGCUAGCUUGACUGCGAGCGUGACGGCGCGAGCAGGUGCGAAAGCAGGUCAUAGUGAUCCGGUGGUUCUGAAUGGAAGGGCCAUCGCUCAACGGAUAAAAGGUACUCCGGGGAUAACAGGCUGAUACCGCCCAAGAGUUCAUAUCGACGGCGGUGUUUGGCACCUCGAUGUCGGCUCAUCACAUCCUGGGGCUGAAGUAGGUCCCAAGGGUAUGGCUGUUCGCCAUUUAAAGUGGUACGCGAGCUGGGUUUAGAACGUCGUGAGAC